rnacentral:rRNA from 1 species
GACGAACGCUGGCGGCGUGCCUAAUACAUGCAAGUUGAGCGCUGAAGGUUGGUACUUGUACCAACUGGAUGAGCAGCGAACGGGUGAGUAACGCGUGGGGAAUCUGCCUUUGAGCGGGGGACAACAUUUGGAAACGAAUGCUAAUACCGCAUAAAAACUUUAAACACAAGUUUUAAGUUUGAAAGAUGCAAUUGCAUCACUCAAAGAUGAUCCCGCGUUGUAUUAGCUAGUUGGUGAGGUAAAGGCUCACCAAGGCGAUGAUACAUAGCCGACCUGAGAGGGUGAUCGGCCAAAUUGGGACUGGGACACGGCCCAAAACCCUACGGGAGGCAGCAGGAGGGAAACUUUGGCAAUAGACGGAAGUCUGACCGAGCAACGCCGCGGGAGUGAAGGAGGGUUUCGGAUCGGAAAACUCUGUUGGUAGAGAAGAACGUUGGUGAGAGUGGAAAGCUCAUCAAGUGACGGUAACUUCCCAGAAAGGGACGGCUAACUACGUG